rnacentral:rRNA from 1 species
GAUGAACGCUGGCGGCGUGCCUAAUACAUGCAAGUCGAGCGAACAGACGAGGAGCUUGCUCCUCUGACGUUAGCGGCGGACGGGUGAGUAACACGUGGAUAACCUACCUAUAAGACUGGGAUAACUUCGGGAAACCGGAGCUAAUACCGGAUAAUAUAUUGAACCGCAUGGUUCAAUAGUGAAAGACGGUUUUGCUGUCACUUAUAGAUGGAUCCGCGCCGCAUUAGCUAGUUGGUAAGGUAACGGCUUACCAAGGCAACGAUGCGUAGCCGACCUGAGAGAGUGAUCGGCGACACUGGAACUGAGACACGGUCCAGACUCCUACGGGAGGCAGCAGUAGGGAAUCUUCCGCAAUGGGCGAAAGCCUGACGGAGCAACGCCGCGUGAGUGAUGAAGGUCUUCGGAUCGUAAAACUCUGUUAUUAGGGAAGAACAAAUGUGUAAGUAACUAUGCACGUCUUGACGGUACCUAAUCAGAAAGCCACGGCUAACUACGUG